UUCCUUUUCUACUUUAAGAUCACUUUUCCACUUUUCUACGAAAUACCAUUUUUAAUUUUUUACCAAAUACACAUACAAAUUGUGUAACACGACUAUAUUUGCAUACUAUUAAUAUAAUUAUACAUUCAACACAUUAACAAAAUAUAACUGUGAUGAUAAUCAAAAUUUAUCAUGGCGUGAUAAAUUUUGAUUAUCACGCCGUGAUGAUAAUCAAAAUGUUACCGACUGUCCCUGAUGCAAGUAACAAAAAAACUUGAUUAUUAAUAUCUGUGGUCCUAAAUUUAAAUUCUAAUUAAUUUAUAUUUUGAACUAAAUUUAAUUUUAAAUAAAAUAAAUAAAACGAAUAGGUAUCUAUCUCUCUAAAAAAAAAAAAAAUCAAAAUGUUGACAG
rnacentral:lncRNA from 1 species